rnacentral:rRNA from 1 species
ACCUUCCGGGUUGGUAAAGCACUUUUAUUCCGGAAACCGGAAAACGACCGCAGGGUGAAUAUCCUUGCGAACUGACGGUACCGGAGGAAUAAGCACCGGCUAACUUCGUGC